GAUGAACGCUGGCGGCGUGCCUAAUACAUGCAAGUCGAGCGAACAGACGAUGAGCUUGCGCCUCUGACGUUAGCGGCGGACGGGUGAGUAACACGUGGAUAACCUACUUAUAAGACUGGGAUAUCUUCGGGAAACCGGUGCUAAUACCGGAUAAUAUAUUGAACCGUGUGGUUCAAUAGUGAAAGACGGUUUUGCUGUCACUUAUAGAUGUAUCCGCGCCGCAUUAGCUAGUUGGUAAGGUAACGGCUUACCAAGGCGACGAUGCGUAGCCGACCUGAGAGGGUGAUCGGCCACACUGGAACUGAGACACGGUCCAGACUCCUACGGGAGGCAGCAGUAGGGAAUCUUCCGCAAUGGGCGAAAGCCUGACGGAGCAACGCCGCGUGAGUGAUGAAGGUCUUCGGAUCGUAAAACUCUGUUAUUAGGGAAGAACAAAUGUGUAAGUAACUAUGCACGUCUUGACGGUACCUAAUCAGAAAGCCACGGCUAACUACGUG
rnacentral:rRNA from 1 species